rnacentral:rRNA from 1 species
CGUGGGUAACCUGCCCAAGAGAUCGGGAUAACACCUGGAAACAGAUACUAAUACCGGAUAACAACAGAUGAUGCCUAUCAACUGUUUAAAAGAUGGUUCUGCUAUCACUCUUGGAUGGACCUGCGGUGCAUUAGCUAGUUGGUAGGGUAACGGCCUACCAAGGCGAUGAUGCAUAGCCGAGUUGAGAGACUGAUCGGCCACAUUGGGACUGAGACACGGCCCAAACUCCUACGGGAGGCAGCAGCC